rnacentral:rRNA from 1 species
UUGAAAGGGAAACGAUUGAAGUCAGUCGUACCGACGAGAAAUCAGCUCUUCGAGUGCGAACUUGUGGGCGUGCGUGAGUCUUUAACGGGCCUCGCUGUUUGCAAUUUUGUGCUUUUUGGGUGUACUUUUUCGUAUGGUAGGCCAACGUCAGUUUCGAUCACCGUAAAAUGAUCGGAGGAAUGUAGCUUCGAUCUCGUAUUGAAGUGUUAUAGCCUCUGGUAGAUGCGGUGACCGAAACUGAGGAUUGCAACGAAUACCCUUUUGGGCUAUCCGUCUGGCCUCUGAAAGUUGCUUAGGUGCCGAAAGCGUGCUUACGGCUAUUUAAGUUGACGGUCAACAGGUUAGAACGUGGUUACAUUCGUUAAGGAUGUUGACGUA